rnacentral:rRNA from 1 species
GAUGAACGCUGGCGGCGUGCCUAAUACAUGCAAGUCGAGCGAACAGAUGAGGAGCUUGCUCCUCUGACGUUAGCGGCGGACGGGUGAGUAACACGUGGAUAACCUACCUAUAAGACUGGGAUAACUUCGGGAAACCGGAGCUAAUACCGGAUAAUAUAUUGAACCGCAUGGUUCAAUAGUGAAAGACGGUUUUGCUGUCACUUAUAGAUGGAUCCGCGCCGCAUUAGCUAGUUGGUAAGGUAACGGCUUACCAAGGCGACGAUGCGUAGCCGACCUGAGAGGGUGAUCGGCCACACGGGAACUGAGACACGGUCAAGACGCCUACGGGAGGCAGCAGUAGGGAAUCUUCCGCAAUGGGCGAAAGCCUGACGGAGCAACGCCGCGUGAGUGAUGAAGGUCUUCGGAUCGUAAAACUCUGUUAUUAGGGAAGAACAAAUGUGUAAGUAACUAUGCACGUCUUGACGGUACCUAAUCAGAAAGCCACGGCUAACUACGUG